UGGGGAAUUUUGGACAAUGGGCGAAAGCCUGAUCCAGCAAUGCCGCGUGUGUGAAGAAGGCCUUCGGGUUGUAAAGCACUUUUGUCCGGAAAGAAAUCCUUGGCUCUAAUACAGUCGGGGGAUGACGGUACCGGAAGAAUAAGCACCGGCUAACUACGUGCCAGCAGCCGCGGUAAUACGUAGGGUGCAAGCGUUAAUCGGAAUUACUGGGCGUAAAGCGUGCGCAGGCGGUUUGCUAAGACCGAUGUGAAAUCCCCGGGCUCAACCUGGGAACUGCAUUGGUGACUGGCAGGCUAGAGUAUGGCAGAGGGGGGUAAAAUUCCACGUGUAGCAGUGAAAUGCGUAGAGAUGUGGAGGAAUACCGAUGGCGAAGGCAGCCCCCUGGGCCAAUACUGACGCUCAUGCACGAAAGCGUGGGGAGCAAACAGGAUUAGAUACCCUGGUAGUCCACGCCCUAAACGAUGUCAACUAGUUGUUGGGGAUUCAUUUCCUUAGUAACGUAGCUAACGCGUGAAGUUGACCGCCUGGGGAGUACGGUCGCAAGAUUAAAAACUUAAAUGAAUUGACGGGGUCAUAGCUGUUUCCUG
rnacentral:rRNA from 1 species